AUAAAGCUCCCAUCCAAACAAUAACAGAGAAAAAUAUUUAGUAAAGCAGAGAAAGAAUAUUUGCCCGUUGACUUUUAUCUCAAUCAUUUAGAUUUUAUCAAUUGAUCAGACUUACUUGUAUGUUCUAUUUGAGUCAACACCCUUAAAUAAUUGAUGUAUCGCAGUACUAAGGAAGAACAUAUACUGAGAAAUUUUGCAGAUGGAGGGGAUUUCGUUUGAAAGCCUUGUUUCCGAAUACCUGUGCGAAACCGAAGAAAAACAUUCGGUGGCUGUGUCAAUGAUCAACUUGAUGUUUCAGAAGGAUCCAAAUUCCUUUGCUCUUAAACUUGAUGUUGGUUCUUCACAUGAUGACAUUGAUUUCCGUACCAAGUGUGUUACCCUCUUUUUCACGUUGGUUAAUGAUGACUUGUGCCAUUGGAACAGUUUAAGCGUUUCAACUCAAUCCAUUUUAAAGACUAAUCUCCUUAUGCGUCUCAAGCUCGAACAAUCAACAUACAUCAACGAAAUGCUCUUUGAAACCGUUUUGGCUCUAGCUGCUUCACUUCUCCCCAAUGACAAUUGGCCUGAAUUAUUGUCAUUCUUGUAUCAUUACGUCACUGAUUCCAAUUCAAACAAGCUGUUAAAAGACUCAGUUUUCUCAAUAUUUUGCUUUCUAGGUGAAGUGAUUGGCGAAAAAUUGGUUCCUUGGGUACGAGAUUUGCACCCUUUCUUCCUUAAUACACUGAAUGACGAUACACUCGAUAUCAAUGUGAGGAUCAUGGCCAUGUUUCCAGUGCACAUGUUCAUCCAGUGCACACCGAGUUCAUAUGAAAAGGAGCGGUUUCAGGAUUUACUGCCAGGGAUGAUGAAAACACUGACUGACGCAUUAAUAACGAAUGGGGAACAUCAGGAGGCAGCACAAGCCGCCCUGGGUAGUCUUAUACAGUUGGCGAAGAAUGAGCCUAGGUUUUUGAGGCUGCAACUAGUGGAAGUGGUUAAUACCAUGUUUGAGAUAGCAGAGGCUAAGAUUUUGCAAGAAUGUACAAGGCGCUUGGCAAUUGAGUUUCUGUUAACUUUGGUAGAGGCGAGGGAGAAAGUCCCCGGUAUGAUGAAGAAGCUGCCACGGUUUAUUGACACUUGUUUCACAAUGUUUUUGAAUUUGAUACUGGAUAUUAAAGAUGAACCUAGUUGGCAUAGUGCUGAGGGUGCAGAGAUAAACGACCACAUUUAUAGUAACUGGAAUCGAUGGACAGUGGACAACUACCUUUAUGGUGCCGCCUGUUUAUGCCGGUUUUCUAAAGCAUUAGGUGGCAACACUAUUGCUCCUAUUGCCAUAGAACAGCUGAGUUCUUACGUGGUUGCCCCUGAGUGGGAGAAACGCCACGCAGCUCUCAUUGCACUUGUUCAAAUUGUUAGAGGUAGCUCAAAGGUGAUGAUGAUCAAGUAUUUGGAGCAAGUAGUGAAUAUGGUCCUGCAUUCUUUUCGAGAUCCUCAUCCUCGAGUCAGAUGGGCUGCCAUUAAUGCAAUUUGCUAUUUGUCGACUGACUUCUGUCCAGAUUUGCAAGAACAGUAUCAUAACCAAGUAUUGCCAGCAUUAGCUGCAGCUAUGGAUGAUUUUCAAAAUCCUCGAGUGCAGGCAUGUGCAUCUACAGCUGUCGUGAUGUUCGUACUUGCACUUAAAGAGCCAAUAAGCUUUUCCCACAUAGAUGAAAUACUUAACAAACUGCUUGUACUUCUACAGAAUGACAAUCAAAUGGUUCAAGAUGAAGCAUUAUUUGCAUUGGGUAGUGUAGCUGAUUUCUCUAAGGAGCACUUCCAAAAGUACUAUGAUUUUGUAAUGCCAUAUUUAAAAACGAUCCUGGUAAAUGCAAAUGAUGAAUCUAAUCAGAUGCUUCAAAGCAAAGUCUUGCUGUGCAUAAGCAAGGUUGCGCUUGCUGCAGGCAAAGAGAAAUUCAGAGAUGACUUGAAGCAGGUUAUGGAAGUGCUUAAGUACUCUUUACAAGAAUCACAUGUGACAGAGUAUAAAAAUAUUCUUCGCUGUCUAAAGGCAUCGUCCAGGAUUUGUGUGUGCAUUGGGAAGGAAUUUCUUCCUUACAUGAGUAUAGUCAUGCCAUAUGCAGUUGAAUGUGCUCAACUUGAGCCCGAUAAGACUGUAUCCUCAGAUAAACUAUAUGAUAGUAUGCACAAAGUCAUGUUUGGGGGUGAAAUGAUAUGUAUCUAUGGAAGUGACCUCCUAGAAGGGAAAUCAGUAUUGUGUUCGGCUCUUCAAGUAUAUGCUCAGAUAUUGGGGGAAGAUUUCUACCCAUGGAUUCUCCAGGCUGCUUCAAUUUUAAUUCCGCUUCUGAAAUUCUAUAUCCACUCUUAUGUCAGGAAAUGUGCUAGUUGUGCAAUGGUAUCCUUGUUGCGUUCUGCUAAACUGGCGGUAGAGAAAGAGAAUGCUCAAGGUGGAAACAAGUGGUACUUCAAGCAGUUGCCUGGCCGUAUAAUAUUGGCUUUGGGGGACGCAUUGUAUUCGGAGCCUGAGACAAAACUAUGUGAAAAGAUAUUGCGGGAAUUGAAUAAUUGCCUAAAUAUCGGUGGAACACUUCUCAAUGAAGAUCAGGUUCAUAGAAUCACAUAUGCGAUAAAGCACGUCAUUAUAGAAAGUUCACGUAGAAAAGGAAAACUCACAGAGAGAGAGAAAUCAGAAGACUUUGAUGCUGAGGAAGCUGAAUUGCUGAGGGAGGAAAGAGAGCUAGAAGAAAAAGUAUUUUAUAGGGUUAGUUGCAUAUUGUUGACAUUGAUCAAAACGUUCAAGGCUGCUUUCUUGCCUUUCCUUGAUGAGCUUUCCUCAUAUCUAAUGCCUAUGACAGGCAAGGAUAAAACAGCUCAAGAGAGAAGUGCAUGUGUAAAUAUCUUUAAUAAACUUGUGGAGGAAUGCAACGAAUCAGCUCUACAGUAUUAUAAUAUAUGUCUUCCUUUUCUUUUGGACUCAAGCAACGACGAAAAUCCAGUUCUUAGAGAGAAUGCGCUUUAUGGACUUGGGCUUUGUGCGGAAUAUGGUGGUUUAGUUUUCAAACCAUUUAUCGGAGAGGCUCUUUCAAGGAUCAAUGUUGUGAUAACACAUCUACAUGCUCUUGCACCUGAGAAUGAACAGGCAUAUCAUGAUGCUGUUUUUGCACUUGGCCAGAUAUGUCAGUUUCAUCGGGAAAGUAUUGACUCUACGCAGAUUAUUCCGGCUUGGUUGAAUUGUCUGCCUAUAAGAGGUAACAUGGUUGUUCACGACCAGCUCUGUUCAAUGGUCGAAAGGUCAGACAGAAAACUUUUGGGUCCCAAAUAUGAGCACUUCCCAAAACUUUUGUUAGUUUUUGCAGAGGUUCUAUGUGCUGGAAAAGAUCUUGCUACUGAAGAAAUGAAAAACCGAAUGAUUAAUCCGUUGAGGAAUCUUCAGAAAACAGUACCAGCAGCCACCUGGGCAUCGGCAUGGUCAUUGCUAUUGCCUCAGCAGGAGAUGGAACUGGAAUCCAUUCUAUCACAUAAGGAAGAUGCUAACUUGUCAUCAGUGCAAUCAGGGGCAAAGCUAGGUGGACGCAAGGGGCGUAAAUUGAAAGGCGGUCGUCAAAAACUUAUAUUGCGCAAAUAGGGUAAAAUAAUUCUCUUGACAAAAGGGAAGAUGCUAGUGGAGUGGCAAAGGCGGCUUGCUUCAGGUUAUAGGUUCAAACUUCAAAUCCAACCGUGGCAUUCUUGAAAUUUUCUGAUAUUCUAACUCCACCGCUGAGUGCAAUGAAUCUAUGAUUUCUGCAACUUUGUGCUGUUCAAAUAUUUUGCUGCUCACUUCUUCCUGCAAGCAUCAUUCAUUUUGGGGAAUGGCGUUUUAUAUUGGCCUUCAUAGGUGUGCGCGGAGUAUGAGAGCCUGCAAGCUAAAGGUGGAACCUUUCCUUUACUUUUUUAUUGUAUGAAGGUAUGAUGCAAUUUGCUAGCCAAUUGCUGUUUGCUUGAAUCUCAUUCAGUCAACCGGUGAAUAGAUGGUUCCUCUACAGCUGCUCUGAACUGCUUAUUAUCCCAAUUCAGAAGCGGCUAUGUUUCAUAGAGAAAGCUCUACCCCUUCCUCCAUUUUCAUGAAAGUUUAUAUAAGAUAUGUUGAGCAAGAAAAUCAGUAAACAUGAUCAAGAAGUUAUGUGGCACCAUAUUGAAUCUGGUUCUCUGAUUCUCCUUGAUAGGCUUGUUUACUAGCUUAUGAUAUGAAACAGCAAAAUCUAAUUUGGUUUAGCCCGCAAACUUCUUUGUUGGCUAACAGGUAAUCUCAUGGAUUAGUCUCUCCGAGUCUUGGAUGUUUAUCAAAUUUCUCGGCUUACAGGCCAGAUUCAACCUUCUGGUCUCAACUAAGAGUACCUUCCACGAUUUGCUUCAAUUUUCGCAGAGGUAGUUUGAAACUAGAACCAGGGGCGGCCCGACGUAUUUUUGGGCCUAAAGCCAAAUUUUAUUGAGUGGCUUAAUGUUUUAAUUUUUU